UACGUAGGGGGCAAGCGUUGUCCGGAUUUAUUGGGCGUAAAGAGCUCGUAGGCGGUCUGUCGCGUCGGUCGUGAAAACUUGGGGCUUAACCCUGAGCUUGCGGUCGAUACGGGCAUGACUGGAGUUCGGCAGGGGAGACUGGAAUUCCUGGUGUAGCGGUGAAAUGCGCAGAUAUCAGGAGGAACACCGGUGGCGAAGGCGGGUCUCUGGGCCGAUACUGACGCUGAGGAGCGAAAGCCAGGGGAGCAAACGGG
rnacentral:rRNA from 1 species